GCUGUUUAGUUCCUGUCCUUGCCAUUUAUAACGACCAUGUAUGAAGAAAAUAUGGAAUAUCUUCUGCGAAGCCGUUUAAAGCCCCCGCAAAUGCAGAUCGCAGUUCCUGGAUCAAGUGUUCUCCUGAACCUAUUUACUAAUGUGUAAACAUCACUGGUCAUUGGCCGUGACAUUUCUGGAAGUGACAUGAGAGCCAAAGGUCUCUACACUAUGUAACCAAUCACUGCCAAGCACUCUGCCAACCAUCCGAUCACAGGUGGACAACGUUUGUAUAUCUGCUCUGCACUCUGCCCACAGGUGAAGUUUUGUAUUUGGGAUAGGAAAAGGUGAGAGGUUGGUACAUGGGACACUAGAGAUAAAAUGACAGUGAGAAUUUAUAAUAUAUUUUAGGGUAAAGAGACAUUCUGGUCCUUCAUCCCUGAUAUUUGCCACACUGCUUGCAACACUUCUGAUACAGCUCUGUGGAGCCUCUCCCUAUCUGCAACUGUACAGCUGCCGUACCAGUAUGUCAGCAGGCUCUCGAUGGAUGAGCGGUAGAAGAUCAGCAGCAGGUUGGAGUUCAGAUUGUAGUUCCUGAGGUCUCCGUUGCUUUGAACCGCCAGCCUGAUAAGCGGGUCUGUGAACGGCGCCGUAAUGGCUGCUGGACCAGAUGGCUGCUUUCAGGAGCUGGAUUAACUUCCCCUGUUGGAAGUUGUGUCUAUGGUGUAUUAUGUGUAUUUGUUUUCUCCCCACAGUCCUCAUGUUAUGCUGUAUUUUUCUUCUUAAUCCAUUUCGUGACACUGUACUUGUAUAUGUGUAAUGACAAUAAAUUGAAUCUCAUCUCAUCUCAAGUCUAGCUGCUGCUGAGCCCUCUUGCAGACUGCUGUGAUGUUCUCUGUCCAGGAGAUGUCGGCAGAGAUGAGGACGCCGAGAAACAUGAAAGUGUGGACCCCACUAUGUCCUUAUGUCUAAUGGCUUAGAAAUAAAGUUUCAUGACUUAAAGAACA